rnacentral:pre_miRNA from 1 species
ACAACUUUUGGACCGUCGGUCUACCGAGCAAUAUCAUCCGCUCGGGGGAAGAUCUUCUUUUCGUGGU